rnacentral:pre_miRNA from 1 species
CCUUAUCUGGAUCGGGUUUCGCUGGCUAACGUGUUGUGCGAGCGAGCAACCAAACUUCAAUUCGUUGUCGACGAAACCUGCACGGAGUAAGG